UUCCCCUUGCCGAACCCGAGCGCGCCUCGCAUCCUCUCCGCGCACCCGACGCCGCCGACGCCUUCUCCUCCUUGCCCUAACCGUCGGCCCCGGCGGUUCUCUCCUCUGCCGACGCCGGCGACCCUCCUCUCUGCCUUGGUCUCUGCCGCCGGCGACGAGAGCCACCGCCGACCCCCUGUUGCCCUAGCCGUGGGGAUACCGAGCACAGGGCCGACCGAGCCCCCCAUCCCGAUCCUUUCCUCUUUGCUCCAAGUCGUGCCCUAGUGCUUUACUGCCGUCGCUGCUCCUCUGCACAGUGUCGGCCAGUGAACCCUAGCUCCGGUUGCCACCACCUCUGUGCCAACGGCCAACGCCACUGCUUCUCCUAUGGGGCUUCUUCCAGAUUCAACGAGGGACGAACCUUUGAGACACCCUCUCCUCUUCGGUAUCAAGAGGAAGAGUUUUGUGUUCACCAAAACAGUACUUGGAUCUCGUUCAUUCUGGAGAAAUUUCAGAUUAGGGUUUAUCUGUUUGGGAGAUUGGCAAUUUAUCCUUGCUCCGACUGUUGAUUUACAGAAGCAACGUUUCCAAUCAGAUUUGGACAAGUUGUAGAGGACUCUGAUUCGAGACCGUAUCUCGACGGGUAUCUUGAUUCCCGGAUUGGACCAUUUUAUCGGAGGCGGGUACUUUGACUUAUGUCUUUUGAUAUGCAUAAUAAAGUGUUUAACAUAUAGCAAUGAUUGUGUUAUCCUUUUGAUUCGGUU